GAUGAACGCUGGCGGCGUGCCUAAUACAUGCAAGUCGAGCGAACAGACGAGGAGCUUGCUCCUCUGACGUUAGCGGCGGACGGGUGAGUAACACGUGGAUAACCUACCUAUAAGACUGGGAUAACUUCGGGAAACCGGAGCUAAUACCGGAUAAUAUAUUGAACCGCAUGGUUCAAUAGUGAAAGACGGUUUUGCUGUCACUUAUAGAUGGAUCCGCGCCGCAUUAGCUAGUUGGUAAGGUAACGGCUUACCAAGGCAACGAUGCGUAGCCGACCUGAGAGGGUGAUCGGCCACACUGGAACUGAGACACGGUCCAGACUCCUACGGGAGGCAGCAGUGGGAAAUCUUCCGCAAUGGGCGAAAGCCUGACGGAGCAACGCCGCGUGAGUGAUGAAGGUCUUCGGAUCGUAAAACUCUGUUAUUAGGGAAGAACAAAUGUGUAAGUAACUAUGCACGUCUGGACGGUACCAAAUCAGAAAGCCACGGCUAACUACGU
rnacentral:rRNA from 1 species